rnacentral:rRNA from 1 species
ACCCGCACAAGCGGUGGAUGAUGUGGAUUAAUUCGAUGCAACGCGAAAACCUUACCUACCCUUGACAUGUCUGGAACCUUGGUGAGAGCCGAGGGUGCCUUCGGGAGCCAGAACAUAGGUGCUGCAUGGCUGUCGUCAGCUCGUGUCGUGAGAUGUUGGGUUAAGUCCCGCAACGAGCGCAACCCUUGUCAUUAGUUGCCAUCAUUUGGUUGGGCACUCUAAUGAGACUGCCGGUGACAAACCGGAGGAAGGUGGGGAUGACGUCAAGUCCUCAUGGCCCUUAUAGGUGGGGCUACACACGUCAUACAAUGGCCGGUACAGAGGGUAGCCAACCCGCGAGGGGGAGCCAAUCCCACAAAGCCGGUCGUAGUCCGGAUCGCAGUCUGCAACUCGACUGCGUGAAGUCGGAAUCGCUAGUAAUCGCGGAUCAGCAUGUCGCGGUGAAUACGUUCCCGGGUCUU